UACGUAGGGUGCAAGCGUUAAUCGGAAUUACUGGGCGUAAAGCGUGCGCAGGCGGUUGUGUAAGACAGAUGUGAAAUCCCCGGGCUCAACCUGGGAACUGCAUUUGUGACUGCACAGCUGGAGUGCGGCAGAGGGGGAUGGAAUUCCGCGUGUAGCAGUGAAAUGCGUAGAUAUGCGGAGGAACACCGAUGGCGAAGGCAGGUCUCUGGGCUGACACUGACGCUCAUGCACGAAAGCGUGGGGAGCAAACAGG
rnacentral:rRNA from 1 species